CAGACAUGGACCGGGCCAGCUUAUCGGCUGCUGGGUCGGUUCCGUGUCCGGGCCUCCGGAGCUGCUUGACGCUGACUUAGCAGGAGGAAGGAGGCUGGAGCAGUGGCGUCGUUUUUGGUCGUCUCCCAUGAAGUUCACGAUGACGGACAGUUCGAUCCGACGCCGAUGUACCUUGACUUGGAGCCUGGGCUCUUUAGCUACCAUUCAUAUCAUUCUUCUCUUCAGUUUGUCAUCAACUUUACAAUUCUGAAAAUAUUAAACUUCUGAAAAAUAUCAGCAACUGUAGUCACAGGAAUAUUUAGCUGCUUGUAGAAGGUUUCAGAGUUUUUAUCCUGUAACGUGUCUGAAAUUUUUGUUUUAAUCUCCUGGGACAUUUUCAAUAUCUGCAUUUCCAUUAUGAAUGUGCGCAAAAGUUUGUUGAUAUUCUGCUAAUGUAAAAAAAAACACAAUUUAGUCAUUUCCAUUAAAUAAAAAAUGCAAUUAAAAUCA